rnacentral:rRNA from 1 species
UGGGGAAUUUUCCGCAAUGGGCGAAAGCCUGACGGAGCAAUACCGCGUGAGGGAGGAAGGCUCUUGGGUCGUAAACCUCUUUUCUCAGGGAAGAAAAAAAUGACGGUACCUGAGGAAUAAGCAUCGGCUAACUCCGUGCCAGCAGCCGCGGUAAUACGGAGGAUGCAAGCGUUAUCCGGAAUGAUUGGGCGUAAAGCGUCCGCAGGUGGCGAUGUAAGUCUGCUGUUAAAGCGUCUAGCUCAACUAGAUAAAAGCAGUGGAAACUACUUACGCUAGAGUGCGUUCGGGGCAGAGGGAAUUCCUGGUGUAGCGGUGAAAUGCGUAGAGAUCAGGAAGAACACCAGUGGCGAAGGCGCUCUGCUAGGCCGCAACUGACACUGAGGGACGAAAGCUAGGGGAGCGAAUGG